GAUGAACGCUGGCGGCGUGCCUAAUACAUGCAAGUCGAGCGAACAGACGAGGAGCUUGCUCCUCUGACGUUAGCGGCGGACGGGUGAGUAACACGUGGAUAACCUACCUAUAAGACUGGGAUAACUGCGGGAAACCGGAGCUAAUACCGGAUAAUAUAUUGAACCGCAUGGUUCAAUAGUGAAAGACGGUUUUGCUGUCACUUAUAGAUGGAUCCGCGCCGCAUUAGCUAGUUGGUAAGGUAACGGCUUACCAAGGCAACGAUGAGUAGCCGACCUGAGAGGGUGAUCGGCCACGCUCGAACUGGGACACGGUCCAGACUCCUACGGGGGGCAGCAGUAGGGAAUCUUCCGCAAUGGGCGAAGGCCUGACGGAGCAACGCCGCGUGAGUGAUGAAGGUCUUCGGAUCGUAAAACUCUGUUAUUAGGGAAGAACAAAUGUGUAAGUAACUAUGCACGUCUUGACGGUACCUAAUCAGAAAGCCGCGGAUAACUGCG
rnacentral:rRNA from 1 species